AACGAACGCUGGCGGCAGGCUUAACACAUGCAAGUCGAGCGCCCCGCAAGGGGAGCGGCAGACGGGUGAGUAACGCGUGGGAACAUACCCUUUAGUACGGAAUAGCCUCGGGAAACUGGGAUUAAUACCGUAUACGCCUACGGGGAAAGAUUUAUCGCUAAAGGAUUGGCCCGCGUUGGAUUAGCUAGUUGGUGAGGUAAUGGCUCACCAAGGCGACGAUCUAUAGCUGGUCUGAGAGGAUGAUCAGCCACACUGGGACUGAGACACGGCCCAGACUCCUACGGGAGGCAGCAGUGGGGAAUAUUGGACAAUGGGCGAAAGCCUGAUCCAGCCAUGCCGCGUGAGUGAUGAACGGCCCUAGGGUUGUAAAGCUCUUUCGCUAGAGAAGAUAAUGACGGUAUCUAGUAAAGAAGCCCCGGCUAACUUCGUG
rnacentral:rRNA from 1 species